AUGAGGAUGCCGACGAUGAGGACAAGGACGACAAGGCUGGGUCUGAUGCUGAGGAUGACAAGGAUUCUGAUGAUGAGAAGCACGUAAGUUGCUCCCCUCCCUGUUCUGAUAAUGCAUUUGUUGUCUUAUAAUUUGCUUUUCCUCUUCUUGUUUCCUUACCCUUUUCCCUUGCAAUUUCCUUUUCCAGGAUGAGCUCUAGAUGACAAGGAAGAGAGGAGGCUGCCUUUGCCUUUGCGCUGCUGCCAGGAUUUAUUAGUUGUCUCUCAUUAUGAUGUUCCCCUUUUUGUGAUCAGAAACUUGACAAGUUACUGUGUGUAGAAGAACAACAUCACCGUGGGAUCUUUGUAGCG
rnacentral:lncRNA from 1 species